AUUGAACGCUGGCGGCAGGCCUAACACAUGCAAGUCGAACGAGUAGCGGACGGGUGAGUAAUGUCGUGGAAACUGCCUGAUGUAGGGGGAUAACUACUGGAACCGGUAGCUAAUACCGCAUAACAUCAGAUGUGCCCAGAGGGAAUUAGCUAGUUGGUGGGGUAACGGCUCACCAAGACGACGAUCCCUAGCUGGUCUGCGAGGAUGACCGGCCACACUGGAACUGAGACACGGGCCAGACUCCGACGGGAGGCAGCAGUGGGGAAUCUUGCACAAUGGGCGCAAGCCUGAUGUAGCAAUGCCGCGUGUAUGAAGAAGGCCUUCGGGUUGUAAAGCACUGUCAGCGGGGAGGCGUUACCCGCAGAAGAAGCACCGGCUAACUCCGUGCCAGCAGCCGCGGUAAUUC
rnacentral:rRNA from 1 species